ACGCAUCAUCAAGAGAAGGGCUGGCGCCCUCGCCAACCUGCCUAACCGGGCAAGGUGGUCUCCGCCGAAAGGGAUGUGGUUUCGAACUGAGGACGUCGUCUUCAUCAUUCGUAACAACCAAGCGGUAGUUU
rnacentral:ncRNA from 2 species